AUAAAGAUUUAUAUAUACAUAAUUUACAUAUACAUUAGGUUUGAAGCAGAGGCAGUUGUUCCAUCUUGUUCGAAAAAAGAUGGAUGGUUAUUUUGGUCAACUUGUGUUCAUGCAAUGAAAGCUACCUAUAAUAAUUUUUCAAUCAUUGACUCCUGCAACAAUCUUAGACUUAAAAGAGUUAAAGUAACUGGAGGUCAUUAAAUUUUACAAUAAAGAAGUAUGUGCAGGAUUUAAUUUCACCACUAAAGAGGACUCCGAAGAAGAAUAUAAUAAAGUUCUGGUUGAUCAAAGAUCGAGGAAUGAUUUGGUUUUAACUGGUUUGCAUUUUAUGAACGAAGUACAUAAUAUGAUUUAAAUUGAUGAUUUAUAGUUAC
rnacentral:misc_RNA from 1 species